GUGCCUUUCUAAGAGAGCCCCUUGCCCCUUCUGUCAUGUGAGAUUACAGAGAAAAGGUGGCUGUCUGGGGAGCAGGCCCUCAGCAGAUGCAGAAAUGUGCCAGCACCGUGAUCUUGGACUUCCCAGCCUCCAGAACUAGGUGGCCUUUCUCAUGAUUUCUACAGCUUUCGAGUGUGGCAAGCAAUGUCCUGGUUUGCUUAUGUUUGUUCAAUGUUUAAAACCCAUCCCUCAGCCCUAAGAAAAGUGUAAAAGAAGGAUUCGUCCUCCCUUCCUUUGGAUGGCAACACUGCUUUCCUGAGCCUGAGCCCUGAAGGGGUCUUCGAAAAUGUGAUCCGUUGAGUGAGGAGUUCCAGCGGAACGUAGAUUCGCUUCGCAAGGAAGAAAGUUCCACUCGGCUCCCGAUGAAUUUAAUCUCUCAAUUUUCCUCCGUUGCUUGGACGUGCUAGAAUGAAACUCAGAUGAGAUGCUGUGAUAAAGAUCCUUCUUCGUUAGUCUCUCUCACAGCUGGGCUUCAUUUAUGUGCCCAUAAACCAGCUCAUCUUUGCAACACAGGAGCGACUCUGAGCUGGGAAACUGAGCUAAACCAAAAAACAGCAAGCUCUUCAUUCAUGAUCUGCAAAGAUGGGAAGCUGCCAAAUGACACUUCCAGGAAGCUUAUCCAUUUACAAAAUGAUCUUCAUGUUGCAGUCAUUUCAACUGAACCAAGGUGGUGUUUUAUUCCAGAAGAAAGUUGUUUCUUUUUAAGUCGAGGCCAGCAAGCAUUGAUAACAAUUCCUGUGGAAGGUUUCAUCUCCCUCCUGAGGCAUUGCGAAGGCCCCUCUGAAGAUGCAGAGGAUGGAUCUUCGUUAGAUUAAGCCAAUCGUAUGAUUCUGUCCCAUUUACCAGUGUUUGGUUUAAGGACAAGUAUGUGACCCAGCCGCAACCAGUAAAAUAUGAGGUUUCUCUUGAUACUAAAAAAGGCUCAAGGAAGAGACAUUCUCUCCCAUCCUUGGAUAUUGUUGUAUGAGGAGCAGCCUGGAACUGCUGAAAAUAUUUUGUGACCAUGAAGAGACAAAGAUGAAGAUAAGAUUCAUUUUGCUGAGGAAGGCAGAACAGAAAGACAGAAUGUACCCAGCUCCCUGAUCCGCCUUGUUGAAUCACUAAACAAACCGUCCCCAGUAUUGCCUUAGUCUAGACCUCCUAUUAUGUGAGCUAAUAAAUCCCUUUACUGUUUUAGUUGUUGGUUCUCAAUCUUGUUUGUAUGCCAGCCCAGAUGUCCUUUUAAAAGAGCUUCAGUUGAUUUGAAAGGAUAGCCAGGAUUAAGAAUGAUUGGUUUAAGAUAUUUUGAAUUGAGUCUUCUGUUACUUGCAGCCAAUAACAUUCCAACCAGUGGCCUCAGGCAAUGUGCAUAAGUCUUCAAGAGGAUGGGAUAACGGGUGGAGACACUGUGGGAGUCAGGAGGAAGAGCUUUAACUCCUACCAGAGCAUAGUUAAUUCAGAGGGUUUGGCUCAAAUAUUCGUGCUUUCCAUUUUUGGAACAGGACAAGGCUCCAGCCUUAUUAGUUGGCAAGGGAGAAGCUGUAGCAUUGUGUGGGAAGAUGCUUUAUAAAGAUGCUGAUGCAUUGGCAGACACAUUGAGACCUCAUUCCAGGGAGUACACUCCAGAAGUAACUUUGUGUAGCCUUAAGCUACUGUGACUGAUGAUAAUGGACUGGAUUAUUCACGUGGGCUGAGGGAAAUUAAAGAGUAAGAACCACUACCAAAUUUGUGCCUUGCCUAUAGCAUGUGUGGAAGAUUUAACAGCAUCCAUGAGGUAGGAGCUUCAUUCCUACCUGCAUUUUGUGUCCCUGUGUGUGCUUUUUCUUUUUCUCACUAAUUCCUUAAUCCUGCCUUGCUGUGCUGGUUGUUGACCUUGUCCCUCAGUUCUAAGCCCACCUUUCUGUAUUGUGCUCUGGGAUACUGGGGCUGGGGUUCUGAAAACUCUAUUUUCCGGACUCCCUUGCCAAACUUGUUAGGUUCUACCCAUGGGAGGCGCUAAAUGGAGACUGGAAAGCAGAAGGAGAGGAGAAGAGAAUUUUCCUCUUCCCAGUUUCUAUUAGUGUUCCUAGUAGCAGCAGAAGUUAUGGCUUCAAUAUGUUUCAACACUUCCAGCACCAGCUUCACCAUGCUCCAUUAGAAGUACCAGAAGCAGCCACACUUCCUUAUCCAAUGGGCCAUGUUCUCCAGGCCUUCCAGACAUCUUCUAGGUCAGACCUCCUGCUUAGAGAUCUGAACACCAGCCACAGGGUGCCCUCCUCCUCAGAAACCCAAAUAUCUACUGUGGAAGGGGCACCACGGCAUGCCAACCAGUCUUGUGGAGGGCCCUGCUCUAAGCUCCCAAGUUCUUACAGCACGAUUUUCUCCCUUUUAUUCCUCUGGGGGUUGUCACUACUUCCUUCAGUUACUAAUCUCUAGGUUACCUUGGUAUCCUUUUUAUUCUUCCAGCCUUCCAACACCUUUGUAAACAAUUGCUUGAGUUAAAUCCCCUCUGUUUAAAAUACCUGGUGGGAUGGUUAAUUUUAUGGGUCAACUUGACUGGCCUAAGGGACGCCUAGAUAGCUGGUAAAACAUUAUUUCUGGGUGUAUCUGUGUGGGUGUUUCUGGAAGAGACUAGCAUUUGAUUCAGUAGACUGAGUGAAGAGAUUGUCCCUCACCAGUGUGGGUGGCCAACAUCCAAUCCACUGGGGGCCUGAACGGGACAAAAAGGUGAAGAAAGGGUGAAUUCUUUCUGUCCUCUUGAGCUGGGAUGUCCAUUUUCUCCUGCUCUCAGAUAUCAAAGCUCCUAGUUCUUGGGCCUUUGCACUCCAGGACAUGUAGAGGUGGCCCCUGGUUCUCAGGUCUUUGGACUCAGAAUUACACCACCGGCUUUCCUGGUUCUCCAGAUUGUGGAUGGGACUUCUCAGCCUCCAUAACCACAUGAACUAAUUUCUAUUGAAAUCUCCUUUUAUC
rnacentral:lncRNA from 1 species